AUACGAAGGGGGCUAGCGUUGUUCGGAAUUACUGGGCGUAAAGGGCGCGCAGGCGGCUUGGGAAGUCUUGGGUGAAAGCCCCCAGCUCAACUGGGGAAUGGCCUGAGAAACCACUAGGCUGGAGUGCUGGAGAGGGAAGCGGAAUUCCCGGUGGAGCGGUGAAAUGCGUAGAUAUCGGGAGGAACACCAGAGGCGAAGGCGGCUUCCUGGACAGACACUGACGCUGAGGCGCGAAAGCUAGGAGAGCAAACGGGAUUAGAAACCCCGGUAGUCC
rnacentral:rRNA from 1 species